UUGAUUUUGUCCAAUCACAGGUCAGGAGCAAUGGGUGAAGCAGCUGAAGUGGGUGGGGCUCCAGGGCUUCAACCAAAUGAAAUGGACUGCCCUCGAUGACCCCGCCUUCCCGGGUGUGACCGGCGCCUUCUACAAGACCUACAAGAACUUCUCCUUCUACUGGAUCCUCAAGGCUGGUCACAUGAUCCCUUCAGACCAGGGACCCAUGGCACUGCAGAUGCUGAAAAUGAUCACACAACAGGACUGACACACACACACACACACUUGCACU